UCUGCAACUCGACUCCAUGAAGCUGGAUUCGCUAGUAAUCGCGCAUCAGCCAUGGCGCGGUGAAUACGUUCCCGGGCCUUGUACACACCGCCCGUCAAGCCAUGGGAGUCGGGAGUGCCUGAAGUUCGUGACCGUCACAGGAGCGACCUAAGGCAAGACCGAUGACUGGGGCUAAGUCGUAACAAGGUAUC
rnacentral:rRNA from 1 species